rnacentral:rRNA from 1 species
UACGUAGGGGGCAAGCGUUGUCCGGAUUUAUUGGGCGUAAAGGGCGCGUAGGCGGCCCGCUAAGUCGAACGUGAAAUCCCCGAGCUCAACUCGGGAACUGCGUCCGAUACUGGUGGGCUUGAAUCCGGGAGAGGGAUGCGGAAUUCCAGGUGUAGCGGUGAAAUGCGUAGAUAUCUGGAGGAAUACCGGUGGCGAAGGCGGCAUCCUGGACCGAGAUUGACACUGAUGAGCGAAAGCCAGGGGAGCAAACGGG